GACGAACGCUGGCGGCGUGCCUAAUACAUGCAAGUCGAACGCAGUGGGGCCGGGUGAGUAACCCGUGGGUAACCUCCCAUCAGAGGGGAUCACACUUGGAAACAGGUGCUAAACCGAUCCUGAUGGUUGGACCCGCUGUGCAUUGGCGAGUUGGUGGGGUAACGGCUCACCAGGGCCACGAUGCAUAGCGGAGCGGUGGGGGUGUGCGGCAACAACGGGACUGAGACACGGCGCAGAAUCCUACGGAAGGUAGCAGUAGUGAAUCGUCAGCAAUGGAAGAAAGUCUGACAGAUCCACGCCGCGGGAGUGAAGAAAGUUUACGGAGAGGAAAACCAGGUUGUUAGGGAAACGGUAUCUAACCAGAAAGCCACGGAUAACUACGUGCCAGCAGCCGCGGUAAUAC
rnacentral:rRNA from 1 species